UAGAGAUGGAGUGAACCAACCCGAAUUGAAACUCGAAAUAAUCUGCAGCCCAAAACAUAACCACUGCCGCCAUCGUCGCUUGUUGUCGCCGGCAUAGCUCCGGUAAGUACCACCACCACUGACACCAUCAAUCAUCUUCUACAGUAAUGAACCCUCAACAUCAAUUUUUUUAGAAAGCAGAAGAUAAAAAUACCGUGAAACCCGACGGACUCCUCCAUCACCGCCGCCGUAGCGGCGGCUACGCAGCCCAUCUCCACCGCACACCUCCGUCGUUCUCUUUCUCGCUCCCGAUCUCUCUCUCUUCUAUCUUCUUAUUUCGCCGCUGCACCACCACCGGACGGUGGUGGUGGUGGUCGUCUAAUUUGUCGAUCGGAAGGGGGGGUGUCGUCUGGCUGGUUCAAAGACGAGGGGGUGGAGUUUCAUCGGUAAAAACCGUCGACAAAGGUUCAGCCAGUUAACCGGCGCCACUCCGGUCGCCGGAGCCGGAGAAGAGACAGAGGGUGUUGAGGGACCAUGUUGGCAGGAGCUCUUUAUAUGUAAGUAUAAUGUAAGUGAAGGCAAGGAGAUGAGGGUCUGCAGUAGGUGAUCGAGAGGAGGUGAGUGGGUGUAGUAUGUGAGAGAUGGAUGAGCUUUAUGUGGGUAUUGUCUGUGUAUUUAAUAGAGUGAGGAAGGUUUUGAUUUUUCCUUUAUAUACUCAAAUUACAUUCAGAUCAGAUAUUUUACCCUUUAAAUCAAGAUUUUUUUGAAGAGAUUUGUAGAGAUUUUGGAUAUCUUGUAAAAUAUCUUGUAAAGAUUUUGUAAGAUAAUAUAAGAUUUCAUAGAGAUCUU
rnacentral:lncRNA from 1 species